GAUGAAGAACGCAGCGAAAUGCGAUACUUGGUGUGAAUUGCAGAAUCCCGUGAACCAUCGAGUCUUUGAACGCAAGUUGCGCCCGAAGCCACUAGGCCGAGGGCACGCCUGCCUGGGCGUCACACGUCGUUGCCCCCCCCCCAUCUACUCCUUCGGGAUUGCGGGGGGCGGAUGAUGGCCUCCCGUGCGCCUAGCCGCGCGGUUGGCAUAAAUACCAAGUCCUCGGCGACGCACGCCACGACAAUCGGUGGUUGCGAAACCUCGGUUGCCCGUCGUGUGCGUUCGUCGCGCAUCGAGGGCUCGAAAAAAUGCUCGGCUCCGGCUCGGCUUUCAGCGCGACCCCAGGUCAGGUGGGGUUACCCGCUGAAUUUAAGCAUAUCAAUAAGCGGAGGA
rnacentral:misc_RNA from 1 species